GACGGUGGCAAUGAGUCUGACCUUCUGGCCCGAAAGGGUUGGGCAAACUGGUCAAUCACCGUCAUGACAGGGAUCGGGGCUUGGAAUUGUUCCCCGUGAACGAGGAAUUCCUAGUAAGUGCAAGUCAUAAGCUUGCGCUGAUUACGUCCCUGCCCUUUGUACACACCGCCCGUCGCUACUACCGAUUGAAUGGUUUAGUAAGGUCCUUGGAUUGGCGCCAUUGUGGUGGAUUGCCGAAAGGCAAUCUGCCCGACAGGUGCUGAGAAGACGACCAAAC
rnacentral:rRNA from 1 species